rnacentral:rRNA from 1 species
GACGAACGCUGGCGGCGUGCUUAACACAUGCAAGUCGAACGGAAAGGCCCUGCUUGCAGGGUACUCGAGUGGCGAACGGGUGAGUAACACGUGGGUGAUCUGCCCUGCACUUCGGGAUAAGCCUGGGAAACUGGGUCUAAUACCGGAUAGGAGACAUUUUUAGUGUGAUGGUUGGAAAGUUUUUUCGGUGUAGGAUGAGCUCGCGGCCUAUCAGCUUGUUGGUGGGGUAAUGGCCUACCAAGGCGGCGACGGGUAGCCGGCCUGAGAGGGUGGACGGCCACAUUGGGACUGAGAGACGGCCCAGACUCCGACGGGAGGCAGCAGUGGGGAAUAUUGCACAAUGGGCGCAAGCCGGAUGCAGCGACGCCGCGGGGGGGAUGACGGCCUUCGGGUUGUAAACUCCUUUCGCUAGGGACGAAGCUUUUUGUGACGGUACCUAGAUAAGAAGCACCGGCUAACUACGUG